GACACCAUAGCCUAACGGAUAAGGUAGCGGAAGGAAUUAAAUCUCCGGUUUUCCAACGUAUGUCUUCGCUUAUGUAGGUUCAAGUCCUGCUGGUGUCA